rnacentral:snRNA from 1 species
GGAUGUGAGGGCGAUCUGGCUGCGACAUCUGUCACCCCACUGAUCACCAGGGUUGGUGCGGCUGAUCUGGCUGGCUAGGCGGGUGUCCCCUUCCUCCCUCACCGCUCCAUGUGCGUCCCUCCCAAAGCUGUACUUGGUCGAAGAGGACGGCCUUCCCCAAAUAGAGACGGACCGGUCUUCGGUUGAGGGUAUACACGAGUAGCUGCAUUCCCCUGCUAGAACCUCCAAGCAAGCUCUCAUUUUGAUUAAAUUUUGCUUUAGAAUAUGGAUUUAUCCAGGGAGACCUAAAUGUCCCAUCU